CCUGGGGGGCGGGGAGAGAACGCAGUGACGUCUGGCCGCGUGCGCAUGUCGGGCGCUUUCUCCUCCCCCUACCCAGG
ensembl:miRNA MIR3175 microRNA 3175